CCAUCUUUGUUAAAAAAACUCUCAAAAAACAGUAAUAUUUAAAAGCAACUGAUUGUACAUGACUAAUGAUAGAAAUCGGCAGAGACUAGCUAGAAAUCAAGUGGCAGAUCACAGAAUUAAGAAUUCACAUAUUACAAGGAAGUGGAGUGUUGUUUGCAAGCAUCAAUGGUACAAAGAUGCAUCACAAGAGCAGUUAAAAAAGUAUCAUAAGCUCCAGUUACAAACAGAUUGAAUCUUCAGAGAGGAAGAUCAAGACCUUUCCCAACUUCCACCCCAAUCACUUGAAGUAUUCCUUUGUUCAAUAUCUGAAAACAAUUCCCAUUCCCAGUCAAAAUCUUGGCAAAAAUCUCAAGAAUUCAUUCUAUUACUAACAAUAUAUAUAUAAUUUAGUAAAAUGAUGAACAAACUUACAAAUUCUAAAAUGAAAACUCCAAUGAUGCCAAUCAUACAAGCUCUAGAAUUCCACGUUUCAGCAGUCCUAGUAAAUCCAAGAAAAGGGGCUCUGAAUUUUGGCUCCACUUUUGGUAAUUCCACCUGAAAAAAUAAAAACAGACCCACAUGUUGCUUUCAAUCCUAUUUUCUUUCUGAACGAUCAGAAACGAAAAAGAAAAAAGAAAAAAAGAUGAACAAAAGGAACCCAUAUAAAAGAAAAAGAACAUACACCAGCAGGAAGCCUUGCAGCUCGGACCUUGAAAGAGACUGGCUUCUUGGGGACUUUUCCAAUUUGAGUAGAAUUCUUGAAAAGCAUAAGCUGCUGAUCUUGAUGAGGAAUGGUUAGAGGUUUAUUUGGAAGGAAAGACGAUGAAAUGAAAGCAGCAGAAGCCAUUGUUUUACUGUUGUUUUGCUCUUGCAAGCGUGACCACUCCCUUGAUU
rnacentral:misc_RNA from 1 species